rnacentral:rRNA from 1 species
UGAGGGAUAUUGCACAAUGGGCGCAAGCCUGAUGCAGCGACGCCGCGUGGAUGAUGAAGGCCUUCGGGUCGUAAAAUCCUUUUGCGCGUGACGAGAACAAGGACGGUAGCGCGCGAAUAAGUCUCGGCUAACUACGUGCCAGCAGCCGCGGUAAAACGUAGGAGACGAACGUUAUCCGGAGUUACUGGGCGUAAAGGGCGUGCAGGCGGCUUGAUAAGUUCGGCGUGAAAUUUCCCGGCUUAACCGGGGGAUGUCGUCGGAGACUGUCGAGCUAGAGGGUGAUAGAGGCGUGUGGAAUUCCGGGUGUAGUGGUGAAAUGCGUAGAGAUCCGGAGGAACACCAGUGGCGAAGGCGACACGCUGGGUCAUACCUGACGCUAAAACGCGACAGCAUGGGGAGCGAACGG